GGUGGGCUGAGCACGCGUGAGCCAGCAAGGCUGUGACGUGUGUGACCGUCUAAUUGGUGGGCUGCACAUCAGUGACGAGUGGAGGCACAGGGAAAGCAGCCAGCGAGGGAUCGGGCUCAGCUCUCGGUCAGUCGCUAGAAUAUGUCAGGGCGAUUGCCGACCAUGCGUAAGCUCCAGUACCGAGAGAUCCCCAGGAGAACCCCUGACCUGCUCCCUGACCCCUCAGAGCAAAAGCCAGCCUAAUAAGGCACACAUUCAAGAGGUGGUAGCUUGACUCAGACUUUGGGAGUUAAGAGAGGAGGAAUUCAUUUGGAGUGGAGUCAUCAGAGAAGGCUCACUGGACCCAAACAGGUCUCCUAGGCUGAGUGGGGCAAGGAGACUCCCCCACAAAAGUUUGGAGGUGGGGAUGUGGCAGCAGGGUAGACUUCUGCAGGACUGGACCAGAAAUCAGGUCAGAUGUGGAGGGCAGACUAAGGGAGCUGGUCUCAUCACCAUGUGCAAGGUCAGUGUGGGAGGGCUGCCAGGCUAGCCUGAGCUGAGCAGGUACACCUGCCCUGGCCUUUCUCACCUCUGAUGGCUCUUGGCGUGGACUUUAGCACCUCCAGGACUAUGCCAUGAAUCCAUAAGUCAGUUUGCAAGGGAGCCAUGGAGCUCAGGAAUUGGAAGUCUUCCUGGGCCGGACUGUAUUUUUUCCAUUGCCUUCAUUUAUCCAUUCAACAUUUAUUGACCAAGCACUAUGUGCCAGGCUCUGGGCAAUGCCUUGGGGAUACAGAGAAGCAAAUCACAGCCCCUUGCUCGGCACUUCAAACUUGUGUAAUACAGAACUUCAUCCAUCUGUCCAGGAUGGGAAGGCUAGGCCGGGGGAAGGGGUGCUGGAUAAAUGGGCCCUGGAGGUAUGACAGUUCUCACCAGUUGGCAGCUUCCUGGCCUCUCUGCCCUUCUCCGUGGCCCCGAGAGCCUGGGAGAGCAGGGUCAGAGGCCAUUUCAUGCAUUGCCUAUGGUGACCUUAAGUUGCCAUUUAGCCUGGGCUAGAGCUUUAAUUUUCCAGAUUCCAUUGGUUCUGUAUAGAAACUGUGAUAUCUCAAUUGCCUUUUCUUCACUGAAGAAACAACUUUGAUCUUAGGAAUCAGUAUAGCAGUAACCUAUUGAGAUUUCCAUGUGAGAUUGGUAAGGAACAUCUUAAAUGCAAUCAAAUAAUAAAUUACAUCUGGGUGAAUUCACAUACAGAAGGUUUCUCCUCCUUGGAAGAAAUCAGAUCCUGUUUGGGGCAUCCAAGCCAGAAUCCUCUCCUGGUUCUGCUCAGACUGGAUCCUGAGUAGAGUGGUUGGCAGGUAAGCCUGCAUAUGGCAACAGUGGGCACCCAGCUGCCUCCUCUCAACACAUCUGGAGUUUGGAAGAGUCAUUCAUGUAGCCCCUAGGCUGGGGGCCCGCCCCGCAAAUGAAUCUGCCGAGUCCUAAAGCCCAGACAGCAGGCUCUGCUGUUCCAGUCUCUUGCCCCCAGGAGCAGGAAGGCUAAACAGAUUGUAUUUUAUUAUUACUAUCACUUUAGUGGUUUUCUUGUUGAAGUCAGUGUGUGUUUAAAAAGAUAAAACUCUAGAACUUACGUGGUAUUUUUGGUUAAAGUACUUGUCAGAGAUGUAGAAGGGACUGUCUUCAUGGAAGGUCAUUCCAGGUCUUCAAAUGGAGCCCCAGGUCCUUGGCCACUAGAAGACUGUCUGUGGAAGUAUCUUCCCUCAGCUUCCGUAUGGACCAGCCGACUGCUGCUGGAGGACACGAUGAGCAUACGUGAAGCAGGCUUUCCUUGGUGGGCAAGUAAGAAGCAGGUGGACACAUUCCAGAAUCUGAAGGCAGGCAAAGGAGAAGCAGGAGCCCUGGAGGAAGAGUUGGAAGAUUGUCCUGGGAAGUGUGAUGGGACAGCCUCUUUUCAGCUUCUCUGAAGAUGGAGACAGAGAGGAACGGUGGGUUUUGCCGAGGUCACAGGAUUGGAAUCCAGAGCCGCGCCACUCCAGGACACGGGAGCUCAUCAGCCGGGGAAAAGCAGAGCAGAAAGGGAAGAUGCAGGAGCCACUGUCCUGAGGCUGCAGUGGUCAGGGGCCCGGAUGGAGGAGGCGGCCGUGGGCAGAGGCUCAAGCUCCGCUCCCGUCCCUGCCCAUCUGGGACUUGGCGAAGGACCUGGGGAGACCUACCACGACCAUCCCGCAGGGAGGGGCCUUGGCCUUUGGCCUGUGGGCUCCCAUUUCUACCCUUGGCACACCGUGUGCCUGUUCCAGGUCUGAGGGCCUCUGGCCGGGUCUCCAGCAAACAGCCACUCUGCCAUCCAUAUUUCCACCCCGGAGGAGUGAGGGCAGCAUGCUGGGAGGUUGCCAAAGCAAGGGGCUCCAGCCUUCUAGGAGUUAACGACUCCCUUUCCCCAGCUGUCCUCCCCUUGGUGCUCCUCUUCCUCCCUCCUCCUGCUCACAGCAGGCAGGGCCUGGACCUGGGAGCCAUGCCGCUGUGCUGUUGCCACGGGAGCCGGGAGGCAGAUCUGAGCUAUGCAGGGAAAAGGCCCAGCCUGUCAAAGUGUCUGAGAUGAACCGCCGCCGUCCCCAUGCAGCUGGGCUCAGAUGUGUCUCGGCUCUUGUUCUGUGCCUGAGAAUGGCGAAGCCCAGUGAGGUUCAAGGGCAAACUCACUAUUCAUUAGUCAGGGGUUCUUGACAUCCCGUCUCUCCCAGGGAUGGGAUUCCCCCCCCCUUCCUCUUUCCCUCCUGUGACACAUUCCUGGGUGCCUUUGGUGAGGAGUACACCCUCCUCUGCCCAACCCCCUCUCCAGAAGCCCCUAGAUAAACUCCCCCCAAGGAGACCAGGCAGGGCAGAGACAAUGGCCACAGGAAACCAUUCAGGCGGGACUCUAGCCAUGCUGGCCCGCCCUCUGCUCCCAGCACCCUUGUGGGCCCCACUCCCCUCUGACUCAGGGUUACCCCGGGCCACCAGCACGCACAAGCCCAGACAGGACGAAGCCACUGGCCACUGCCCUCGGGACAACAGGCCCAUUCUCACAGGGCUCCUUAGUUGCCUUCAUAGCCUGGAUCUCACACAACUGGCUAUUUUGGUGCCUUUCUCUACCAUCAUGUGUCUAUUUUAAGACACUCUCAAACACUGUUGGCUGGAGAAUGUAAAUCAUACAGUAUGUUCUGUAAUGCGGCUGUAUCAGAAUGUAAAAGACGUACUUAGUGACAAACUACACUGCUAGGAAUUUACUCUAUGGUUAUAUAUGUAAAAAUUUCCAAAGAAGUAUGUACAAGAUGUUUGUCAGAGCAUUUUCUUUUUAAGAAUGUAAGAACAUGGAAAUGAAGCUAUGGUCCAUUCAUACGGUGAAAUAUUAUGCAGCUGCAAAAAUCACUGUGGUAGAUCUCUCUAUAAGCUGAUAUGGAAGGUUGGCCAGUAUAUACUGUUGCAUAAAGAGAAUAAAUUGCAGAACAGGCAAUAGAGAAUGAUCUUAUUUAUGUGUAUUUAAAAGUCCUAAGUAUGCUUAUGUCUGAAGAGUUUCUGGAAAUACGUAUUGGAAGGCUGUCUCUGGGGAGUGGGGAUGGACGGAUUCCUUCUGUACUGUUAAAUGUUCUUUCCAUGCUCGUGGAAUACUUUCGUUGAAAAAUAUA